rnacentral:tRNA from 1 species
GGGGCCGUGUGCUAGCCUGGCAUGCUUCCGGCUUGGGGUGCCGGCGACCCGAGGAGCUUCCUGAGUAAAAUCAGGUUGAAUGGGAAUUCAAAUCUCGGCGGCCCCA